UACGUAGGGCGCAAGCGUUGUCCGGAAUUAUUGGGCGUAAAGAGCUCGUAGGUGGUUUGUUACGUCUGCUGUGAAAACCUAGGGCUUAACCCUGGGCCUGCAGUGGAUACGGGCAGACUAGAGGUAGGUAGGGGAGAAUGGAAUUCCCGGUGUAGCGGUGAAAUGCGCAGAUAUCGGGAGGAACACCGGUGGCGAAGGCGGCAUCCUGGACCAACACUGACGCUGAGGAGCGAAAGCCAGGGGAGCAAACGGG
rnacentral:rRNA from 1 species